UCUUGCUGUCUUAAACCAUUUUGCCUUACUCCUCCAACUGAUCACAAGAAAGAGUAGGGGGAAGCCAUGAACACAAGGAUACACAAAGGAGACUGCACCACUGAAUCUCACAGGUCUUCUACCAUAAAAGUUCACACCAGAAACCCAAGGAGUCAGAACAGAUCAAUUUAAGAAGCAGAUGCUAAGAAGAAGAGUAUCACAAACAAUG